CAGCCAGAGAAGAGGAAGAGAGAGAGAGAGAGAGAGAGAAAGGAGUUCUAGAAAGCAAAAAGGAUUGAAGAUGAGAGAAGGCAAGAUCCGCCUCCAAAAGGCUGACAGAAGUGAAAUUCCUCACAACCGUGAACUAUAUUUACUAACUCUGAGGAUGCACAAACUUGGACAAAAGGGAGAAAAUUAGAAAAAACAUUAAUGAGACUAUUCUGGUGACCUCCUACUUACAAUACUGGACAUCAACAAACA